UACGUAGGGUGCGAGCGUUGUCCGGAAUUAUUGGGCGUAAAGAGCUCGUAGGCGGUGUGUCACGUCGGCCGUGAAAACCUGCAGCUUAACUGUGGGCGUGCGGUCGAUACGGGCAUCACUGGAGUUCGGCAGGGGAGACUGGAAUUCCUGGUGUAGCGGUGAAAUGCGCAGAUAUCAGGAGGAACACCGGUGGCGAAGGCGGGGUCUCUGGGGCCGAUACUGACGCUGGAGGAGCGAAAGCGUGGGGAGCAAACAGG
rnacentral:rRNA from 1 species